AGCGAACGCUAGCGGCAGGCCUAGCACAUGCAAGUCGAACGAACUCUUCGGAGUUAGUGGCGGACGGGUGAGUAACACGUGGGAACGUGCCUUUAGGUUCGGAAUAACUCAGGGAAACUUGUGCUAAUACCGAAUGUGCCCUUCGGGGGAAAGAUUUAUCGCCUUUAGAGCGGCCCGCGUCUGAUUAGCUAGUUGGUGAGGUAAAGGCUCACCAAGGCGACGAUCAGUAGCUGGUCUGAGAGGAUGAUCAGCCACAUUGGGACUGAGACACGGCCCAAACUCCUACGGGAGGCAGCAGUGGGGAAUCUUGCGCAAUGGGCGAAAGCCUGACGCAGCCAUGCCGCGUGAAUGAUGAAGGUCUUAGGAUUGUAAAAUUCUUUCACCGGGGACGAUAAUGACGGUACCCGGAGAAGAAGCCCCGGCUAACUUCGUG
rnacentral:rRNA from 1 species